ncrna:unclassified sequences pemK RNA
ACAAUGAUACUUCCGUCCAGUCCCAGCCCCCGGUGGUUCGGGGAUCAAGCAAGGAGGGCGGCCGACAGAGAUCCUGCCGGGGGUGAGACUCCCAUGA